rnacentral:rRNA from 1 species
CCUACGGGAGGCAGCAGUGGGGAAUUUUGCGCAAUGCUCGUAAGAGUGACGCAGCGACGCCGCGUGAAUGACGAAGGCCUUCGGGUCGUAAAGUUCUUUUGACAGGGAAGAAAAUGCCUAUAAGUAACUGUGUAUGUAUUGACGGUACCUGUAUAAGCAGCCCCGGGCAAUUCCGGGCCAGCAGCCGCGGUAAUACGGCGGAGGCGAGCGUUGUUCGGAGUGGUUGGGCGUAAAGAGCACGUAGGCGGUGUUGUAAGUAAUUAGUCAAAGACUAUAGCUCAAAGUUAGUAAGGCUAGUGAUACUAUAAUACUAGAGUAUGAGAGAGGAUGGUAGAAUUCGUGGUGUAGCGGUGAAAUGCGUAGAUAUCAGGAGGAAUACCGUUAGCGAAGGCGGCAAUCUGGCUGGAAACUGACGCUGAGGUGCGAAAGCGUGGGUAGCAAACAGGAUUAGAUACCCUUGUAGUC